rnacentral:lncRNA from 1 species
CCUGAGAUCUUUAUUCUACUAGGUCUUUAUUCUACGUAGCCGAUACGCUGUAAAAUUCUGGAAGAGAAGGCUAGGGGUUUAAGGUUGGUAAUCUCUCAGAAGAUCUGCGUCUCGGUGACGGAAAGAACUAAGGAUACUCACAGAUGGAAUUCUAAACUGGUAGCAGACCCUGAAGGACAAUGUCACCAUCAGAACCACCAACAAGGACAAACUGUCCCUCUCCUGCAUCACCCUGCAUACCAUCUGCAUCCACAAAAAUGCUCAUUCUUCAACAAGCCUCCUAUUUCUUUUGGGUGACUGGGAACACUGCCCAGCACCUCCAUCACAUGCUUUAGCGCUUCCCACCCUAACUUAGGGUCCCAUAUGCCUCCUGUUUCUUCUUGACCAGUGACCUGCCACUGUGGGCACUGUCAUUCUACAUGUCAGUGAGUGCAGAGUGCUAUGGUUACCAUGCAGACUAUCUUUGAGCUGACUCUGCAGGCCAGUGACCAGG